UACGAAGGGAGCGAGCGUUGUUCGGAAUCACUGGGCUUAAAGCGUGCGUAGGUGGAUUGGUAAGUAAGGAGUGAAAUCCCAGGGCUUAACCCUGGAACUGCUCUUUAGACUGCCUGUCUGGAAUUCGGAAGAGGUUGGUGGAACUCCCAGUGUAGAGGUGAAAUUCGUAGAUAUUGGGAAGAACACCGGUGGCGAAGGCGGCGACCUGGUCCGAUACUGACGCUGAGGCGCGAAAGCGUGGGGAGCAAACAGG
rnacentral:rRNA from 1 species